GUGGAUUAGAUACCCUGGUCGUCCACGCCGUAAACGAUGGAUACUAGGUGUGGGGGGUCUGACCCCCUCCGUGCCGCAGUUAACACAAUAAGUAUCCCACCUGGGGAGUACGAUCGCAAGGUUGAAACUCAAAGGAAUUGACGGGGGCCCGCACAAGCGGUGGAGUAUGUGGUUUAAUUCGAAGCAACGCGAAGAACCUUACCAGGGCUUGACAUGGGGAUGACCGCUCUAGAGAUAGAGCUUUCCUUCGGGACAUCCCACACAGGUGGUGCACGGCUGUCGACAGCU
rnacentral:rRNA from 1 species